rnacentral:rRNA from 1 species
GACGAACGCUGGCGGCGUGCUUAACACAUGCAAGUCGAACGGAAAGACCCUGCUUUUGUGGGGUGCUCGAGUGGCGAACGGGUGAGUAACACGUGAGUAACCUGCCCUUGACUUUGGGAUAACUUCAGGAAACUGGGGCUAAUACCGGAUAGGAGCUCCUGCUGCAUGGUGGGGGUUGGAAAGUUUCGGCGGUUGGGGAUGGACUCGCGGCUUAUCAGCUUGUUGGUGGGGUAGUGGCUUACCAAGGCUUUGACGGGUAGCCGGCCUGAGAGGGUGACCGGCCACAUUGGGACUGAGAUACGGCCCAGACUCCUACGGGAGGCAGCAGUGGGGAAUAUUGCACAAUGGGCGGAAGCCUGAUGCAGCAACGCCGCGUGCGGGAUGACGGCCUUCGGGUUGUAAACCGCUUUCGCCUGUGACGAAGCGUGAGGGACGGGAAUGGGUAAAGAAGCACCGGCUAACUACGU